GGUUAAGUCCCGCAACGAGCGCAACCCUUGUCCCGUGUUGCCAGCAGGCCCUUGUGGUGCUGGGGACUCGACGGGAGACCGCCGGGGUCAACUCGGAGGAAGGUGGGGACGACGUCAAGUCAUCAUCGCCCCUUAUGUCUUGGGCUGCACACGUGCUACAAUGGCCGGUACAAUGAGCUGCGAUACCGCGAGGUGGUGCGAAUCUCAAAAAGCCGGUCUCAGUUCGGAUUGGGGUCUGCAACUCGACCCCACGAAGUCGGAGUCGCUAGUAAUCGCAGAUCAGCAUUGCU
rnacentral:ncRNA from 1 species